AAAAAAUUCUCCUCUCCAGACUGUCUAUAAGCUAGAGUUGCUCCCAUGUAAUUUAGAUGUAUGGCAUAUGAAAGGAAGCUUCCUAGGUGCAGCAUGCAGGAAAGCUAUUGUUUUCCCAAUAAAAUAUGUCUUUGUUCUUCAUUCUACUCUCUUCCUCCCAUCUGAGACAUGCACAUGACAUCUGGAGGUGGAGAAGUCACCUAUGGUCAAGAGGAUAAGAGCCAUACAGUAAAGAUGGCAGAACUGGAAGAUAGAAGGAAUUGGUCUAAUGAGUUCUUUAAGCAACUGCACCAACUUGAGACUGACUACCUCCAGAAUUCUUGUUACAGGGGGCAAGUGAGCUCAUAGUAGGAAGAAACUACAUGUUGGAACUGAACCAACAAUAUGUGUUUCUUUCUGCGGAUCAGCACAAUUUUGUAAGAGCUAAAAUGAUUCAAGCAGAUGUUCAUCAUGGGACUGCCAGCAAAAGGACUGAGAGUCACAAAGAUAAAUUCCAAUCCAGUGUUUGGAAAUCUCCCCACCACACUCAAGCGUCUUUUGAAGUGUAUCCUCCUUACUGUAUAAAUUUGAGGCCCCAUGUAACCUGGAUCCACACGGAGACCACUCCCAGGGCUUUGGCAGAGACCUAUGCACCUGGAGGACCCUGUCGCUAAAGUUCCUCUAGCUGCAAGAUAAUUAGACUGUUCUUUACCUGCCAUUGAAGGAAUGUCACUGUAAGCAGACACAAACUCCAUGGCAACGUGUAGAUCAGCACUUUCUCUGUCAAUACCUGGGAAAUGUCAUUUCUCUGAAAUUCUGCUAAGGAAUUUCUUCUCAGGAACAGAUUAGACAACUAGUGACCAAGGAAAUGUGUAAACAUGUUUAAACUGAAAAGCAUUAUUGGGUCAGCCAACUACUUAAGAAAGAACAGCCUUGGCAAAUGACAGAGAAUGAGAGAGGAAGACGUGCAGAUUUCCUCCCGGCCUUGAGAUGAGAGCAGCUUGGCUGGAGGACCCCAGCUGGGAAGUGGGGAAGCCUGACUGCUCUCCUUUCACCCAUGUCCUGGACAGCUCUGCAAAGGAUGGCGGAGUAUCAAAACAGGACCUAAUUCAAUUACCUGCCUUUUGUUUACUUCCAGUCGAAUGGUUAAUAUCAGCAAAAGCAUUUUUAUUACUUUAUGGAUAUGAAUGUAAAUUUGGUAUAAAAGACUGGCAGUUGACAAACCUGUUUACCUGGGAGUUUAGGGAUGAUUAAUCCUUGGUGCAUGUGUGCAUGCAUAUGUGUUUUAAAUAUUCUAUUCUCAAGUUUUUCUAAGAAAGCCUACAUUGACAUUUUUAAUACCAACUGUGAAGGAUCGUGAAAAAUUAGGCCAUUUUAAAUGAAAAUAAAUUCAGAAAUGGGAGAAUUACAUACGAGAUGGUUAAACUGCAUAAUGAAUAAUAAAUUAAAGGGAGCUUAUUGGUUAAAAGAAGUUGGAAGACUGAAGAAUCUCCAAGGUCCACUCAAGUCUAUGUUUCCUUGAGCAACAAAACAAGAAAAGAUUGAGGAAAUUCAGAGGCAAAAAAAAACCAGAGUUCAACUUAAAAAAAAAUUCUAAAGUGCUCUUCAAAAUAUUUCACUAUAAUGACAUAGAAGGCUAUGGUGUGCUUGAUAGGUAAAUGGUGAAAAUGGUGAUCUGUUUGUAAGGAAGCAAAAAAUACAUGCCUUAGGGAAGUUAUGGAACCGAAGAGAAAAAUGUAAGAAUACCUCGGCAAAAAUACACAUGGGUGGAACAUCAUUAGAAGAAUUAUGUUAGAAGCAGGCAUUUAAAAACCCCAGAGAAAUGGAUGAUAGGAGAAUUCACAGUAAAAAUAAUUAGGGGCUUCUGGGUGGCUCAGUGGGUUUAGUUAAGCAUCU